CUGAGACAGCUUUCUACUUCUCAGUCGUUCUUUAAUUCCCUAUUCCCACCUUAUUGAGCUGAGCCUAACAGGGACUCAUUCUGCGCCGUGGGAACUUAAGCUUAAAAAUGGAAGGAAAACCCCAAGAAAAGCAUGCAGGAGGUCACUGCAGAUGAGAAAGGUCGCCUAAUCGAAGCUGUUUCCCAUUAUUAUGGGACCUCACCGAAAUCAUGCCGGUCGUGACCUCGCAAAGAAACAGAACCACCAAUAAUACGAUCUCCGACGAGCUCUAUUUGGGAAUCCCAGGACUCCACCUUCACCAACUACUUGGCAGCUAGUGCGAAGAUGGAGGAGGAAAAAAGGCUCCGCUAAGGCACACCUGGAAAAGCCAUUACCAUCCAUUGCUAGGAUGCUGUGCGACUUCCUGCAGCAUCAGGCGAAACAACCCCGUUCCCAACCUGGCUCCUACUUCCUCAAGAUCAAAUAUGCCUAUUGGGACUCGGAGCUGGACUGCAGAUGGCGCGGGAAGGAUGGCGAAGCAUCCGUGGGACGAGAAGUUGCGUGAACUUUGAAAACUUCGGUCACACUUCAAAGAACAAGAUUUGAAGACUAUUGAAACUCUUAGCCGAUCUGAGUACUAGGCUUAAAACUGAAUAAAAUUGAAAAUUUGACAUGGCUAUAAAUAAGUAAUUAAUCGGUAUAAUAUAAAAUCAUCGAAAAACCACGGAAAACAGCGCUAAGGAAAAAAUCGAGGCAUCGAUGAAUUUUUUAAUAGUUUUGAUAUAAGAUUCAUUCUGUUAUUUUAUUUAUAUGAAAAACUACAAAAAAGCUUCGGUACUAAUUAAAUUUUUUUUAUUUUUUAUACAUGUAAUGAAAUUCUUUUGCACGUAUGGUACACUUAGCACUAUUUGUGUAAAGUUUUGUGGAUUAGAUCCAGCAAAAGCUGGUCUUUGUCGUUAUUCUGGAAUUUAUCAUUGCCAUAUACAUAUAUACAUAUGAAGCUAAUAAAUAU